rnacentral:rRNA from 1 species
UACGGGGGGGGCAAGCGUUGUUCGGAAUUACUGGGCGUAAAGGGCUCGUAGGCGGCCAACUAAGUCGGACGUGAAAUCCCCCGGCUUAACCGGGGAACUGCUUCCGAUACUGGAUGGCUUGAGUGUGGGAGAGGGAUGCGGAAUUCCAGGUGUAGCGGUGAAAUGCGUAGAUAUCUGGAGGAACACCGGUGGCGAAGGCGGCAUCCUGGACCAUUACUGACGCUGAGUGAGCGAAAGCCAGGGGAGCAAACGGG